rnacentral:misc_RNA from 1 species
UACCGUAUUCUGCUCACGAACGAUUGCGUUUGAUCUCCUCGAGAGAGAAAAACCCAACUUCGUGUGGCUUAACGAAACUUUUGCCUUACUUGGUCGUUCUUGGUUUAAAGAGUGCGCGUAGCAGACGUUAGGAGACCCUGUCCAGGGGUCCUUCGCUCUGAUAUUUCUCCCCUCGAUCGUCCGGUCCACGGGUGAUGAAGCUCUCUGCGAGGGAUAGAGUGAGGUUUGACCAGUCUGUGGCGAGGUUAGCGAAGACGAGCAGGGGUCGACCCUCUUUCUUCAUGAAUCUCGGUAUGUCCGCUACUUUUUUUUUUUGUGGUGUCGGUACGUACGACCCUUUCGGUGGCUCGCUCGAUUUGAAGGGCGAUUUCGAUCGGCCUUUAAGAAGCCACUCGAAAGGGAACGUUCAAAGAGUUCUUGGUGGAGACGCCAAGCCGCCGGCCAACCACAAUUUCCCCGGUCGUCUAACAAUAUUUUUUUCUACACGAUCAAGGACACAUUUAGUUUGUUGCGAGCCGUCGUCUUUUCGACGGCCGUCUCACUUAAUUUGAAACGUUAACGUACGACCGUAGGCGUUGGAUCACUCGGCUCGU